AGUGAACGCUGGCGGUAGGCCUAACACAUGCAAGUCGAACGGCAGCACAGUAAGAGCUUGCUCUUACGGGUGGCGAGUGGCGGACGGGUGAGGAAUACAUCGGAAUCUACUUUUUCGUGGGGGAUAACGUAGGGAAACUUACGCUAAUACCGCAUACGACCUACGGGUGAAAGCAGGGGAUCUUCGGACCUUGCGCGAUUGAAUGAGCCGAUGUCGGAUUAGCUAGUUGGCGGGGUAAAGGCCCACCAAGGCGACGAUCCGUAGCUGGUCUGAGAGGAUGAUCAGCCACACUGGAACUGAGACACGGUCCCGACUCCUACGGGAGGCAGCAGUGGGGAAUAUUGGACAAUGGGCGCAAGCCUGAUCCAGCCAUCCCGCGUGGGUGAAGAAGGCCUUCGGGUUGUAAAGCCCUUUUGUUGGGAAAGAAAAGCAGCAGGUUAAUACCCCGCUGUUCUGACGGUACCCAAAGAAUAAGCACCGGCUAACUUCGUG
rnacentral:rRNA from 1 species